CAGCCGCCGCGGUAAUACGGAGGGGGCUAGCGUUGUUCGGAAUUACUGGGCGUAAAGCGUACGUAGGCGGCUUUGUAAGUUAGAGGUGAAAGCCUGGUGCUCAACACCAGAACUGCCUUUAAGACUGCAUCGCUUGAACGUCGGAGAGGUGAGUGGAAUUCCGAGUGUAGAGGUGAAAUUCGUAGAUAUUCGGAAGAACACCAGUGGCGAAGGCGGCUUACUGGCUCAUUCUAGACGCUGAGGUGCGAAAGCGUGGGGAGCAAACAGGAUUAGAUACCCCAGUAGUCCCUGUCUCUUAUAC
rnacentral:rRNA from 1 species